rnacentral:rRNA from 1 species
AGUUUGAUCCUGGCUCAGGACGAACGCUGGCGGCGUGCCUAAUACAUGCAAGUCGAACGCUUUUUCUUUCACCGGAGCUUGCUCCACCGGAAGAAAAAGAGUGGCGAACGGGUGAGUAACACGUGGGUAACCUGCCCAUCAGAAGGGGAUAACACUUGGAAACAGGUGCUAAUACCGUAUAACACUAUUUUCCGCAUGGAAGAAAGUUGAAAGGCGCUUUUGCGUCACUGAUGGAUGGACCCGCGGUGCAUUAGCUAGUUGGUGAGGUAACGGCUCACCAAGGCAACGAUGCAUAGCCGACCUGAGAGGGUGAUCGGCCACACUGGGACUGAGACACGGCCCAGACUCCUACGGGAGGCAGCAGUAGGGAAUCUUCGGCAAUGGACGAAAGUCUGACCGAGCAACGCCGCGUGAGUGAAGAAGGUUUUCGGAUCGUAAAACUCUGUUGUUAGAGAAGAACAAGGAUGAGAGUAAAAUGUUCAUCCCUUGACGGUAUCUAACCAGAAAGCCACGGCUAACUACGUGCCAGCAGCCGCGGUAAUACGUAGGUGGCAAGCGUUGUCCGGAUUUAUUGGGCGUAAAGCGAGCGCAGGCGGUUUCUUAAGUCUGAUGUGAAAGCCCCCGGCUCAACCGGGGAGGGUCAUUGGAAACUGGGAGACUUGAGUGCAGAAGAGGAGAGUGGAAUUCCAUGUGUAGCGGUGAAAUGCGUAGAUAUAUGGAGGAACACCAGUGGCGAAGGCGGCUCUCUGGUCUGUAACUGACGCUGAGGCUCGAAAGCGUGGGGAGCGAACAGGAUUAGAUACCCUGGUAGUCC